rnacentral:rRNA from 1 species
UUUUGCGCAAUGGGGGAAACCCUGACGCAGCAACGCCGCGUGAAGGAUGAAGGCUUUCGGGUUGUAAACUUCUUUUAGCAGGAAAGAAACAAAUGACGGUACCUGCAGAAAAAGCACCGGCUAACUCUGUGCCAGCAGCCGCGGUAAUACAGAGGGUGCAAGCGUUAUUCCGAAUUACUGGGCAUAAAGAGCGCGUAGGCGGUCUGAUAAGUUUGAUGUGAAAGCCCUGGACUCAAUCCAGGAAGUGCAUUAGAUACUGUUAGACUUGAGUACAGGAGAGGAGAACGGAAUUCCAGGUGUAGAGGUGAAAUUCGUAGAUAUCAGGAGGAACAACAGAGGCGAAGGCGGUUCUCUGGACUUAACUACGCUGAGGCGCGAAG